rnacentral:rRNA from 1 species
AACGAACGCUGGCGGCAGGCUUAACACAUGCAAGCCGAACGCGUGUAGCGAUACACGAGUGGCGCACGGGUGAGUAACGCGUGGAUAUCUGCCUUUUGGUUCGGAAUAACUCCGGGAAACUGGAGCUAAUACCGGAUGGUUCCUACGGGAUAAAGAUUUAUCGCCAAAAGAUGAGUCCGCGUACGAUUAGCUAGUUGGUGAGGUAAUGGCUCACCAAGGCGACGAUCGUUAGCUGGUCUGAGAGGACGAUCAGCCACACUGGGACUGAGACACGGCCCAGACUCCUACGGGAGGCAGCAGUGGGGAAUAUUGGACAAUGGGGGCAACCCUGAUCCAGCCAUGCCGCGUGAGUGAUGAAGGCCUUCGGGUUGUAAAGCUCUUUUGGCGGGGACGAUGAUGACGGUACCCGCAGAAUAAGCCCCGGCUAACUUCGUGCCAGCAGCCGCAGUAAGAC